rnacentral:rRNA from 1 species
AGCGAACGCUGGCGGCAGGCCUAACACAUGCAAGUCGAACGAACCUUUCGGGGUUAGUGGCGGACGGGUGAGUAACACGUGGGAACGUGCCUUUAGGUUCGGAAUCACUCAGGGAAACAUGUGCUAAUACCGAAUGUGCCCUUCGGGGGAAAGAUUAAUCGCCUUUAGAGCGGCCCGCGUCUGAUUAGCUAGUUGGUUGAGGUAAUGGCUCACCAAGGCGACGAUCAGUAGCUGGUCUGAGAGGAUGAUCAGCCACAUUGGGACUGAGACACGGCCCAAACUCCUACGGGAGGCAGCAGUGUGGAAUCUUACGCAAUGGGCGAAAGCCUGACGCAGCCAUGCCGCGUGAAUGAUGAAGGGCUUAGGAUUGUAAAAUUCUUUCACCGGGGACGAUAAUGACGGUACCCGGAGAAGAAGCCCCGGCUAACUUCGUG